UUAUCUUCAUGUCAAACUUGGAAUUGUGAAGAAUCUGAUCAAAGCUGUAGUUAACGACAAAGAUGAUCCAGCACACGGUGCCCAAGUUUUGAAAUUUCUGCGUGAAUUUUUCAAUUACAAAAUCAGCGAAGGCAAAUUACGUGAAGGCGAGGUCAACGGUCCAGACAUUCGGAAGCUGAUGAAGGACGAAAAAUUCGACAACGUUUUGACGGCGCGUCAGAGACUAGCCUGGGUUGCAGUGAAAAAGGUCAUUCAAUCAUAUUUGGGAAAAAAUCGGACAGAUGACUACCGCGAUUCAGUUCGAGAAAUGCUGAAUCUGUUCGAUGCAAACCACGUGACAUGUCUUUGAAAAUUCACUUGUUACACCAACAUUUGGAAUUCUACGCCCCUCAAUUGGCAACCGAAUCGGAUGAACAAGGUGAACGAUUUCACCAAACGUCGUUGCCAUUUGAAAUGAGGUAUAGAGGAAAGCAUUCACCGGACGCAGUUUUAGCGGAAAUUUGUUGGUGGUCUAAGACGCUUUUCGAAGAAUAUGAGGUAGAGGAUGAACCAAUGGAAGUUGAAGGCGCAGAAGGAGGCGCAGAAGCAGGCGCAGAAGGAGGCGCAGAAGAA